rnacentral:rRNA from 1 species
AUGCAAGUCGCGCGCGAAAGUGGACUUCGGUCCGCGAGUAAAGCGGCGAAAGGGUGAGUAACGUAUAGUCAACCUACCCCUGACACCGGUAUAGCCUCUGGAAACGGAGGGUAAUCCCGGAUAGUCCCGACGGUUGGAAUCUUCUGUCGGGUAAAUGGUUGGGAUCUUCGGACCUUCCGGUCAGGGAGGGGACUAUACCCCAUCAGCUUGUUGGUGAGGUAAUGGCUCACCAAGGCAUUGACGGGUAGCCGGACUGAGAGGUUGACCGGUCACACUGGGACUGAGACACUGCCCAGACUCCUACGGGAGGCUGCAGUCGAGAAUCUUCCGCAAUGGGCGAAAGCCUGUCGGAGCGACGCCGCGUGGGGGAUGAAGGCCUUCGGGUUGUAAACCCCUGACACGGAUUAUGAAUGGCUGUGCGUUAAUAGCGUUCAGUUUGACAAAGGUCCGAGAGGAAGCCACGGCUAACUCUGUGCCAGCAGCCGCGGUAAUACAGAGGUGGCAAGCGUUGCUCGGAAUCAUUGGGCAUAAAGGGCGUCUAGGCGGACAGGUCAGUCGGUUGUGAAAUCCCUCGGCUUAACCGAGGAACUGCAGCCGAUACUGCUUGUCUUGAGGAUGAGAGGGGAGAGUGGAACUCCAGGUGGAGCGGUGAAAUGCGUCGAUAUCUGGAGGAACGCCGGCGGCGAAAGCGACUCUCUGGCUCAUUCCUGACGCUGAAGCGCGAAAGCUAGGGGAGCGAACGGGAUUAGAUACCCCGGUAGUCCUAGCCGUAAACGAUGAGCACUAAGUAGAGGGGUUUU